UACAGAGGGGGCUAGCGUUGUUCGGAAUUACUGGGCGUAAAGAGCUCGUAGGUGGUUUGUCGCGUUGUUCGUGAAAACUCACAGCUCAACUGUGGGCGUGCGGGCGAUACGGGCAGACUGGAGUACUGCAGGGGAGACUGGAAUUCCUGGUGUAGCGGUGGAAUGCGCAGAUAUCAGGAGGAACACCGGUGGCGAAGGCGGGUCUCUGGGCAGUAACUGACGCUGAGGAGCGAAAGCGUGGGGAGCGAACAGG
rnacentral:rRNA from 1 species